CGCGAAUAGCUCAUUACAACAGCUAUAAUUCACUUGAUCUCGACACAAUCCUACUUGGAUAACUGUGGUAAUUCUAGAGCUAAUACAUGCAUUAAAGCUCUGACCUCACGGGACGAGUGCAUUUAUUAGAACAAAACCAAGCGGCUUCGGCUGUUUUCGGUUGACUCAUAGUAACUGAGCUGAUCGCAUGGUCUUGCACCGGCGACGUGUCUUUCGAGUAUCUGCCGUAUCAACUUUCGAUGGUAGUGUAUCUGACUACCAUGGUGAUCACGCGUAACGGAGAAUAAGGGUUCGACUCCGGAGAGUUCGCCUGAGAAAUCGCGAACACAUCUAAGGAAGGCAGCAGGCGCGAAAAUUACCCACUCUCAGCACGAGGAGGUAGUGACGAAAAAUAACGAGACCGUUCUCUUUCGAGGCCGGUCAUCGGAAUGGGUACAAUUUAAACCCUUUAACGAGUAUCUAUGAGAGGGCAAGUCUGGUGCCAGCAGCCGCGGUAAUUCCAGCU
rnacentral:rRNA from 1 species